GACGAACGCUGGCGGCGUGCUUAACACAUGCAAGUCGAACGGAAAGGCCCUGCUUUUGUGGGGUGCUCGAGUGGCGAACGGGUGAGUAACACGUGAGUAACCUGCCCUUGACUUUGGGAUAACUUCAGGAAACUGGGGCUAAUACCGGAUAGGAGCUCCUGCUGGAUGGUGGGGGUUGGAAAGUUUCGGCGGUUGGGGAUGGACUCGCGGCUAAUCGGCUUGUUGGUGGGGUAGUGGCUUACCAAGGCUUGGACGGGUAGCCGGCCUGAGAGGGUGACCGGCCACAUUGGGACUGAGAGACGGCCCAGACUCCUACGGGAGGCAACAGUGGGGAAUAUUGCACAAUGGGCGGGAGCGUGAUGCAGAAACGCCGCGUGCGGGAUGACGGCCUGCUGGUUGUGAACCGCUUUCGCCUGUGACGAAGCGUGAGUGACGGUAAUGGGUGAAGAAGCACCGGCUAACUACGUG
rnacentral:rRNA from 1 species